UGGCAGAGGGCACUGAAG
rnacentral:misc_RNA from 1 species